rnacentral:rRNA from 1 species
UAGAGUUUGAUCCUGGCUCAGGACGAACGCUGGCGGCGUGCUUAACACAUGCAAGUCAAGGCGGUAGCAAUACCGACUGGCGCACGGGUGCGGAACACGUAGGCAAUCUGCCCUUUGGGGGAAAACAACCCGUCGAAAGACGGGCUAACAUUCCGUAGUAUCGCGAUAUGGCAUCAUGUUGCGAUCAAGUUUUCCAAAGGAUGAGCCUGCGUCUGAUUAGCUAGUUGGCGGGGUAACGGCCCACCAAGGCUACGAUCAGUAGCUGGUCUGAGAGGAUGAUCAGCCACAUUGGGACUGAGAUACGGCCCAGACUCCUACGGGAGGCAGCAGUGAGGAAUAUUGCUCAAUGGACGAAAGUCUGAAGCAGCAACGCCGCGUGAGGGAUGAAGGGGCUUUGCCUUGUAAACCUCUGUAGUUGGGGACAAAUGUAGGGUUACUACCCUAUUGAUGGUACCCAAAAAGUAAGGAUCGGCUAACUACGUGCCAGCAGCCCCGGUCAA